rnacentral:rRNA from 1 species
AUGAACUCCCCUUCUGCAUACGGAAUGCAUGGGUUGCUGUCUCCACAGUCGCAGCCACUUCACCUUGGCCAUGCCCAGAAUAAUCUGGGCACUUCCCUGAACGAUUUGGAUGUCAAUAAUGGUAACCUGAUCAGGGGUGCACACAUGUCAACCAUGGUGACUGGUACUUCUGGUAACUCUUUUGCAAACAUUUCAAAUGGUGCACCAUUGGCUCCUACAAAUAGGGCAGUUCAGUCUCUUGAAUCAAACAACAGGCAACACCUUGGUCGGAUAAAUUCGUCUUCGACAGGCUCAUUUAGCUCAUUCGCUAGUGAUUCUCCCCACUUUCCAGAUCUUGGAAGAAGUAGUAACACCUGGCAAACUGCAGUGCCGUCCAACAUUCAGCAACUUGGUCAGAACGGCAGCAUGUCCCAAGCAAGCUUGCAUGGGAAUGGCCCUAGGAUGGAACCUGUCUCAAGCUAUGCACCACCAUCAAAUCAGAUUACAUCUCUGGGAAAUGAUAUGCAGAACCAAGUAGCACCACUAGCUAGCAAUACCCUUCCAAUGGUAUUCAAUCAGGGUGCAGCGCCAUUCACCUUUGGAAACAGCACAAACUUGAGAGAGACGCUCAAUAGCAACCUUGCGUUUAGCAAUUCAGGCAUCAACACUUCAUUGCCAAACCUUCGCAUUGACAAUUCGGUUGUGCCAAGGCAGACUCUGGAUGGCGGGAAUACAGGUGGUGUUCCUCUCUGCAGGAUGGCAAGAUUGAUCAGCAAGCUGUUGGUAAUCAGCUCAAUUACAACAACAAUGAUCUCGUGGGGACAAGUGGGCUGCAAAGGGAGCUCAGUGGUGGUCUGGAUGACAUUGUUGUUGACAUGUUCAAGCCGAUGGCUGCCGAGUUCAACCCAGUCCUGCUGCCGGAGUUUUGCCAGCCGGAAGAGACGAUGCCUUUCGGCAAGCAGCUGA